GAUGAACGCUAGCGGCAGGCUUAACACAUGCAAGUCGAGGGGGUAUAGUAGCAAUACUAGAGACCGGCGCACGGGUGCGUAACGCGUAUGCAACCUACCUUUUACAGAGGGAUAGCCCCAGAGAAAUUUGGAUUAAUACCUCAUAGUGUUAUUAGAUGGCAUCAUUUGAUAACUAAAGUUCCAACGGUAAAGAUGGGCAUGCGUCCUAUUAGCUAGAUGGUAAGGUAACGGCUUACCAUGGCUACGAUAGGUAGGGGUCCUGAGAGGGAGAUCCCCCACACUGGUACUGAGACACGGACCAGACUCCUACGGGAGGCAGCAGUGAGGAAUAUUGGACAAUGGGCGCAAGCCUGAUCCAGCCAUGCCGUGUGCAGGAAGAAGCAUCUAUGGUGUGUAAACUGCUUUUGUACGGGAAGAAACACUCCUACGUGUAGGAGCUUGACGGUACCGUAAGAAUAAGGAUCGGCUAAACUCCGUGCCCAGCAGCCGACGG
rnacentral:rRNA from 1 species